GGAUGAACGCUGGCGGCGUGCCUAAUACAUGCAAGUCGAGCGAACGGACGAGAAGCUUGCUUCUCUGAUGUUAGCGGCGGACGGGUGAGUAACACGUGGAUAACCUACCUAUAAGACUGGGAUAACUUCGGGAAACCGGAGCUAAUACCGGAUAAUAUUUUGAACCGCAUGGUUCAAAAGUGAAAGACGGUCUUGCUGUCACUUAUAGAUGGAUCCGCGCUGCAUUAGCUAGUUGGUAAGGUAACGGCUUACCAAGGCAACGAUGCAUAGCCGACCUGAGAGGGUGAUCGGCCACACUGGAACUGAGACGCGGUCCAGACUCCUACGGGAGGCAGCAGUAGGGAAUCUUCCGCAAUGGGCGAAAGCCUGACGGAGCAACGCCGCGUGAGUGAUGAAGGUCUUCGGAUCGUAAAACUCUGUUAUUAGGGAAGAACAUAUGUGUAAGUAACUGUGCACAUCUUGACGGUACCUAAUCAGAAAGCCACGGCUAACUACGUG
rnacentral:rRNA from 1 species